AUUAGAGCCCGGCCUCCGGCUGGGGCCACCCAGGCAACCGAUAUACACAGAGAACCACGUGGAGGAAAAGCACGCGAGUUUGGAGCGGGUGGAGCAGGAACAGAGGUGGACUGGAAUGUCACACGACGGGGCAGCUGGAAGGCCAAGUUCCCACCUGGUGGGAAGCACUGUGCAGGUUCGUGGGGAUGCAGCCCUGCACAGCCCAGACUGGACUCCUUCCCCAUGGAACUCACAACACACGGGAGAGGCAGAGAGAUCCAAGCGCACAGAAAAACACAAGAAGAUUCAGCCCUGUCAUCUUGUGCAAAAGUCACACAGGCUAGAGUGCAGUGGCAUGAUCUCAGCUCCCCACAACCUCUGCCUCCGAUGUUCAAGCGAUUCUCCUGUCUCAGCCUCCUGAGUAGCUGGAAUUACAGGGCAUGCUUUCUCGCCUGCCGGCCUUCCACCAUGGGAUGAAGCAGCAAGAAGGCUCUUGCCAGAGGCAGACCCCUCGACCUUGGACUUCCCAGCCCCCAGAACUGUAAGAAAUAAAUCUCUCUUCUUUAUA
rnacentral:lncRNA from 1 species